UACGAAGGGGGCUAGCGUUGUUCGGAUUUACUGGGCGUAAAGCGCACGUAGGCGGAUCGAUCAGUCAGGGGUGAAAUCCCAGGGCUCAACCCUGGAACUGCCUUUGAUACUGUCGAUCUGGAGUAUGGAAGAGGUGAGUGGAACUGCGAGUGUAGAGGUGAAAUUCGUAGAUAUUCGCAAGAACACCAGUGGCGAAGGCGGCUCACUGGCCCGAUACUGACGCUGAGGUGCGAAAGCGUGGGGAGCAAACAGG
rnacentral:rRNA from 1 species